AAUACAUGCAAGUCAACUGAAGCACCGGUAGUAAUACUGGUGAGGAGGUGGCGCACGGGUGAGUAACACGUAGGUAAUCUGCCUUCAGGUCUGACAUAACCCCGAGAAAUCGGGGCUAAUAGCAGAUGAUGCAGCGGCUUGACAUCAAGACAGUUUGUUAAAGCUUCGGCGCCUGAAGAUGAGCCUGCGUCUGAUUAGCUAGUUGGCGGAGUAAUAGCCCACCAAGGCGACGAUCAGUAGCUGGUCUGAGAGGAUGAUCAGCCACACUGGAACUGAGACACGGUCCAGACUCCUACGGGAGGCAGCAGUAAGGAAUAUUGCUCAAUGGGAGAAGUCCUGAAGCAGCAACGCCGCGUGAGGGAUGAAGGGCUUUUGCUCGUAAACCUCUGUAGUGAGGGAAAAAUUUCCAUUCUAUGGAAUAUGAUGGUACCUCAAAAGUAAGCCCCGGCUAACUACGUG
rnacentral:rRNA from 1 species